CAGCAGUGAAGAAAAGAAGCAGAACCAAAAGCAGUAUUGAGUGGAAAUGAGAAGUGGUAGGAGGAUGUGCAAAACUAAGAAAACAGAGAGACGGUAGAAAGACAUACAGAGAAGAUACAACAGAGAUAGAGCGGAGAUACGAGUGAAUAGAGCUGUACGUCACCUUGAUGUCUGUCUGACAGAAGACAGAACAGACCAGGAGUCAGCUUCUGAAAUAGUAUACGAUCCUAGGCUGGAAAACACAGUGCUGAACACGGCUCCAUUCAAUACAUGACUGGAACAGAGGUUUCAGUUCUCUGAAAGCUUCACCAGAGA
rnacentral:lncRNA from 1 species